rnacentral:rRNA from 1 species
AUGGCGUUCAGGGCCUGCCUCCCGUCCCACAAGGCCUCGCCGUCGCCUUCCGUCGCGCAGAGGAGGGCCAGCAAUGGGGCACCGCCGGUGGUGGCCAUGGCCUCCACCAUGAACGAGGUCAAAACUGCCAAAAAGCCCUAUGCUCCCCCACGUGAGGUGCAUCUCCAAGUCAUGCAUUCGCUACCAGCACAAAAGCAGGAGAUCUUUGAUUCACUUCAAUCUUGGGCUAGGGACAACCUAUUGAACCUUCUGAAGCCAGUUGAGAAGUCAUGGCAGCCACAGGACUUCCUACCAGACCCUUCUUCCGAGGGAUUUUAUGAUGAAGUAAAAGAACUGAGGGAGCGGGCAAAGGAAAUCCCUGAUGACUACUUUGUUUGCCUAGUUGGUGACAUGGUUACUGAGGAAGCCCUUCCUACGUACCAAACAAUGCUCAACACCCUUGAUGGUGUCCGAGAUGAAACUGGCGCAAGCCCAACUGCCUGGGCUGUUUGGACAAGAGCAUGGACUGCUGAAGAAAACAGGCAUGGUGAUCUUCUGAACAAGUACAUGUACCUUUCCGGACGGGUUGACAUGAGACAAAUUGAGAAGACUAUACAGUACCUUAUUGGUUCUGGAAUGGAUCCAGGAACUGAGAACAAUCCCUACAUGGGUUUCCUUUACACAUCAUUCCAAGAGAGAGCUACUUUCAUAUCCCAUGGCAAUACUGCUAGGCAUGCCAAGCAAUUUGGGGACCUUAAACUGGCCCAGAUAUGUGGUACAAUAGCAGCUGAUGAGAAGCGCCAUGAGACAGCUUACACCAAGAUAGUUGAGAAGCUUUUUGAAAUAGAUCCUGACUACACGGUGCUUGCAUUUGCUGACAUGAUGAGGAAGAAGAUCUCGAUGCCUGCCCAUCUCAUGUACGAUGGUGAGGACAACAACCUAUUCGAGCACUUCAGCUCGGUCGCGCAGCGGCUUGGGGUCUACACGGCGAAAGACUACGCCGACAUCCUUGAGUUCUUGGUCCAGAGGUGGAAAGUUGCAGAUCUCACUGGACUGUCCGGUGAAGGAAGACGGUCGCAGGACUAUGUUUGCACUUUGGCAACGAGAUUCAGGCGGCUGGAUGAAAGAGCGCAGGCAAGGGCGAAACAGGGGCCUGUGGUUCCAUUCAGCUGGGUCUACGACCGUAAAGUGCAGCUCUAA